rnacentral:lncRNA from 1 species
CCGCCUUUGAAAUCCUAUCACCUCCAAAAUUCUCUCUAGCCCUCCCCGAAACCUUAGUUGACUUCCACCUACUUCAGGCAUGUUUCCACUGGAAUCCAUGGCACUCCUGACCAUGGAUGGCUUGUGCUCACUGUCUCUCACCAUUAAACCCAAGCCACGCGAAGGUUGAAGGACGAUUUCAAGGGCUCCCUUUAGAUCUGUCUUAGAUCUGUAAGAUCUUGGGCCUCUCCGGCCAUUUUCCGGCGUACUCGAGCAAUAUGAGCCUCUAUGACUCAGGAUCCGAAUUUCCUCAAGACCUUCUCAUUCUAGGGUCUUCUCUAUUUUUUUUUAAGCUGUCUGAGGUUCUCUACUUGCCUAUUUCUUUCAAAUUUUAACAUACUUGGCCUUUACCUGACGUUUUGGGACUUUUCCCCAAAUUUCCUUUUUCAAAUUUGUUCAAAUUCAAUUUUUUAAGGUUCCUGCAAAGAUUUUCUUCAAAAUGUUUUCUGACUCUUUUUGUUCUCUCUUUAUGUGUG